CUGGCUGUGGAAGCUGGCGAA
rnacentral:miRNA from 1 species